AGCACAGUGGUUAGUGCAGUCUGCCGGAAACAGAAAGACGCGGGUUCAACUCCCGU
rnacentral:tRNA from 1 species